rnacentral:tRNA from 1 species
GCGGGAGUGGCGGAACUGGCAGACGCGCGGGACUUAGGAUCCCGUGCCCGCGAGGGCUUAGGGGUUCGAGCCCCCUCUCCCGCA